UUCUUUAAAAUUAAAAAUUUUGGCGGUAUUUUAGUCUUUUCAGAGGAACCUGUUUUUUAAUCGAUAGUCCACGAUGAGUUUUACUUUAUUUAUAAAUUUACAUAUCGUCGUUUACAAAAAUUUUAUUAUUUAAUUUUUUCAGAUCAAGGUGUAGUUAAUAUUAAAGUUAAAAUGGGUUACAUUGAAAAUUGUAAUUAAAAUGGAUUUGAAAGUAAGCUCUAAAAUAUGCACAUAUCGCCCGUCGCUUUCGUUAUAAAAUGAAAUAAGUCGUAACAAAGUAGACUUAUUGGAAAAUGGGUCUAGAAUGCAAAUUAGAGCUUGAUAAGUAUUUUAUUUACAUUAAAAAGUUAAUUGUGGAAUUCAAUUUAAUUUGAGUUUGUAAUAUUAUUAAAUUAAAUUAAGUUAAUAGAAUUAAUUGUGGUUUUAUUAUUUUUUGAAUAAAUUUAUUUAUAGAUUAGGGUAUAGUGAUAGAGUUAUGUAAAAUUUUAAUAAGAAAAUUUUAUUUAUUGUACCUUGUGUCUCAGGGUUGAUUAAUUUAUAUUUCCCGAAUUUAAAAGAGUUAAUUUUAUUGUGAAAUAAAUAUUUAUAAUUAUUAAUUGGAAAUGAAAUGUUAUUCGUUUUUAAAUAUAUCUGGUUUUUUAAGAAAUGAAUUAAAUUUAUUUAUUAUUAUUAAUUUUAUUGAGGGAUAAGCUUUUAAGAAUAUACUUAUAAAUUAAUUUACAUAUAGAAAUUAUAGGAUUAGAAUUUUCCAUUUUUAAGAAAAUGUUAUAAUUAAUUAUUUUAGUUUUUUUAUUAAAAUUUUAAUUUUAAUAUUUAUUAUUAAGUAAUAAUGAUUAAAUUAGUAAGGUUAUUUUAAGGAAUUCGGCAAAAUUGUUUUCACCUGUUUAAUAAAAACAUGUCUUUUUGAAUAUUAUUUAAAGUCUUGCCUGCCCAAUGAUUUAAUGGCUGCAGUAUUUUGACUGUACAAAGGUAGCAUAAUCAUUAGUUUUUUAAUUGAAAGCUGGUAUGAAUGGUUUGAUGAGAAAUAAGCUGUCUCUAUAAUUUUAAUUUUAAGUGAAAAAGCUUAAAUUUUAUACAAAGACGAGAAGACCCUAUAGAGUUUUUUGAUUGGGGUGAUUUAAAAAUUGAUAUAACUUUUUAUUUUUGUGGUUAUUUGAUCCUGGAUUAUAAGAAUAAAUUACCUUAGGGAUAACAGCGUAAUUUUUUUUUGAAGUUCUU
rnacentral:rRNA from 1 species